rnacentral:rRNA from 1 species
UACGGGGGGGGUAAGCGUUGUUCGGAAUUACUGGGCGUAAAGGGCUCGUAGGCGGCCAACUAAGUCAGACGUGAAAUCCCUCAGCUUAACUGGGGAACUGCGUCUGAUACUGGAUGGCUUGGAUUCGGGAGAGGAAUGCGGAAUUCCAGGUGUAGCGGUGAAAUGCGUAGAUAUCUGGAGGAACACCGGUGGCGAAGGCGGCAUUCUGGACCGACAUUGACGCUGAGGAGCGAAAGCAUGGGGAGCAAACAGG